UACGAAGGGGGCUAGCGUUGCUCGGAAUCACUGGGCGUAAAGGGUGCGUAGGCGGGUUUUAAGUCAGGGGUGAAAUCCUGGAGCUCAACUCCAGAACUGCCUUUGAUACUGAAGAUCUUGAGUCCGGGAGAGGUGAGUGGAACUGCGAGUGUAGAGGUGAAAUUCGUAGAUAUUCGCAAGAACACCAGUGGCGAAGGCGGCUCACUGGCCCGGUACUGACGCUGAGGCACGAAAGCGUGGGGAGCAAACAGA
rnacentral:rRNA from 1 species